rnacentral:lncRNA from 1 species
GAUAAUCAAGCUACAUGAAAUCUACCCUACUAGUGCUGAUAUCUGUGUAUCUCUAAGCUGCCUAUUAAUUAAACACUAUGUAAGUGUUGCAAUUAGGCUGCUUUGGUGGAAACGAGAGAUGAAAACGAUUGGAGGGGUUUUACUGUAUGUGAAUCUCUUGGUUGGUUUAAAGCAUCUCAUUAUGGUUUGUAAGGUUUCUGUGUUGCUGCAAACACUCCCUGGAUGCCUGAGGACUCUGUUGCAGGCUUCAACUACUUCUGGAACAGCACAACAUUCUUCCUCGUGACAAAUGAGCCAAUUCACAGACACUGUGUUUUCAGGUAAUACAAUUUACAUUUCUAGAAGGAAGUGAAGAAGAAAACUUAUAGGACACCUUCCAUUUUUCACUUGAUUUUUUUUGUUUUUUAUUAUUAUUUGACAUUGAUACAAAAAAAUAGUAUCUUGAUUAGCAGCUUUGCUGGCAAUCCCACAAAACUGUAAAUAAUACAUUAAUCUAAAAGAAUGCACUCCUACAGACACUAGAUAAAACAAUAUAUACAAUUUAGACAAAUAAAUACAUAAGUACAGCCAGUCAUAUAUAAUGAUACACCUAAAUUUCGGUUACUGUUGACAAGCUUUUCUAGUUAAUUACACUCUUCAUUUACAAAGUGCCAUUGCCAUCUACAUUAUAAAGACAAAAAAACCUCAAAGAAUUAAAAUUGAUACUUAACAUUAUUAUUGGAAAUGUGGAAAAUGAACCUUGAGGCUUCUGUUUAAGUAUUCUCACGGCUUUAGCAAAAUAAAAAAGAAAAAAAUGCUUUUGUGAAAAAAUUCCUCCUAAAGAGAGGCACUUACCCCCCAGCUGUUUCACUCAAUGUGCUUUUUUCAUAUGCAUUUUGGAAUCAAAAUGUGAUUACGGUCGCACUUUUGAAGUGACUAGAAGCCAGCAUGUUUAAGCAAGUUGUCAUUUGUCCCAUGCCCAAUGAAACAAAAUGACCUCUAAGUAAUGUAAAUAUAUUUUUUGAUUAAAGGAAGUCUGUUGAAAACAUUUGUUUCUUAACAGUAUCCCACAUGGCACAAACACUACUGGGUGGAAGGGAAUACUGUCCCUAUGAGUAGAUGUAUUGCUACCUUUCCAUAUCCAGGUUCCAGUAGUGAAAUUUAUGAACAAAGUGAAAACUUGAAAUCUAAGUGUAACAAGCUAAUGAAAUCUAAUACCAGAAAAUUAAAAGAAGUAGAAAAUUAGGAUUUUGUUGUGUUGUUUUAAAUUCACUUGACAGCAAAAGAAAAAGUAUCUUGUACAUUCAAGAGUUAGGGCACACAUGCUUAAGGCUCUUGAAACACUGGACAAAUAUAAUGCCUCACUCAGCUCCAUGCAUAACAGAAUGCUACAUAGCAAGCAGACUGACACAUAUAUACAGCUGAAUACAGAAGAAAAUGCCUUAGAAAUAUGUACAUCAGUUUCAAGAUGAACAUUUACAUUUC